rnacentral:rRNA from 1 species
ACGGCUCAGUAACACGUGGAUAACNUGCCCUUGGGUCCGGCAUAACCCCGGGAAACUGGGGAUAAUUCCGGAUAACGCACAUAUGCUGGAAUGCUUUAUGCGUAAAAUGGAUUCGUCUGCCCAAGGAUGGGUCUGCGGCCUAUCAGGUAGUAGUGGGUGUAAUGUACCUACUAGCCAACAACGGGUACGGGUUGUGAGAGCAAGAGCCCGGAGAUGGAUUCUGAGACAUGAAUCCAGGCCCUACGGGGCGCAGCAGGCGCGAAAACUUUACAAUGCGGGAAACCGUGAUAAGGGGACACCGAGUGCCAGCAUCAUAUGCUGGCUGUCCAGGUGUGUAAAAUACACCUGUCAGCAAGGGCCAGGCAAGACCGGUGCCAGCCGCCGCGGUAACACCGGCGGCCCGAGUGGUGAUCGUGAUUAUUGGGUCUAAAGGGUCCGUAGCCGGUUUGGUCAGUCCUCCGGGAAAUCUGACGGCUCAACCGUUAGGCUUUCGGGGGAUACUGCCAGGCUUGGAACCGGGAGAGGUAAGAGGUACUACAGGGGUAGGAGUGAAAUCUUGUAAUCCCUGUGGGACCACCUGUGGCGAAGGCGUCUUACCAGAACGGGUUCGACGGUGAGGGACGAAAGCUGGGGGCACGAACCGGAUUAGAUACCCGGGUAGUCCCAGCCGUAAACGAUGCUCGCUAGGUGUCAGGCAUGGCGCGACCGUGUCUGGUGCCGCAGGGAAGCCGUGAAGCGAGCCACCUGGGAAGUACGGCCGCAAGGCUGAAACUUAAAGGAAUUGGCGGGGGAGCAC